rnacentral:lncRNA from 1 species
UUGGGAGUGAGUGAUAAUUUCACACCCCUAUUGGUAACACUAGUAACGUGCUUAUCGGGUUGCGUCUUGCUUAUUUCAGCUUUGGCGCUUGCAAAUAAAGAGGACCAAGUGACAGCAGCGCCCUCCUUGCACGAAAAGAGUAUUGAAAAAUCCUCUUCAUCUUCCUCCUCCACCUCCUCCUCAUCCUCCUCCGACAGUUCCUCCUCUUCCUCAUCAUCUUCUUCAGAAAGAGGGAAGAAGAAGAAGAAGAAGAAGAAGAAGAAGAAGAAGAAGAAGAAGAAGAGCAACAACAAAAAAGACAGCAAGAAAAAAAAAGGGAAGAAAGGAAACAAAAAGAACACCAAGAUAGGAAAGAGAGUCCUCACCCCAGAAGAGUCCAUGGAUCGCUACAGGCGCGUCUUUGUAGCAGUGAAAAAGGGCAUGACAAAAACUGAGGCACACGUCAAAGUCGGGGUUGACCGAAAAACGGUGGCAGCAACGGCCGCCAUUUCGGAGCUACAGGCUGUUGACAAGGACCUGUAUGACCAGCUGAGGGCAUCAAUGCCCAAGGGAGAGACACUUUAUCUUUUUUCGGCAAAAUGUAAUCUAGAAAUACUUGGCAGGAACCUUCAGGAUAAGGUGAAUGAAAAAAAAAGCAACGGGGAACUUUUGCAAAUUGGACACCGGGCAUAGUAAAGAAGAGAGCAGGUUUUUGUUUUGUUUUUAGGGUGCCUUUUUUUUGUUCCAUUUUAAAAUGCCCUUUUUUUGGUUGAUUUGUUCAGUGACAUCAAGAAAUGCCUUGUUAAAAGUGCAGCCUUUAUUUUUGUUCCAUUUUAAAAAGCCUUUUUUUGUUUCUGUUUGUGUUUUAAAUUGUUAAUAUUUUCUGUAUUACCCCGUUAUUAUGUUAUUAUUAUGUUAAAAAUGUUUAACUAAAGUGGCUGUAGAUCCCUCAUUGUCAUCAACAGUGGUUUGGCGUUUUAUAACUAACCCUAAAGUGCUUCACUACUGGUAAACGAAUGAUUCAAAAAGCUUCACUACUGGUAAACGAAUGGUUGAAAAAGCUUAACUACUGGUGAACAAAUGGUUCGCGAAAGAGUAACAACUCAGUAUGAUGCAUUACUUUACAUGAAGGUACACAAAAAGCUUCACUACUGGUAAACGAAUGAUUAAAAAAGCUUCGCUACUGGUAAACGAAUGGUUGAAAAAGCUUAACUACUGGUGAACGAAUG